UACAGAGGGUGCAAGCGUUGUUCGGAAUUACUGGGCGUAAAGGGCGCGUAGGCGGUCUUGCAAGUCAGAUGUGAAAGCCCAGGGCUUAACCCUGGAAGUGCAUUUGAAACUGCAAGACUUGAGUGAUGUAGAGGUUGGUGGAAUUCCUAGUGGAGAGGUGAAAUUCGUAGAUAUUAGGAGGAACACCGGUGGCGAAGGCGGCCAACUGGGCAUUAACUGACGCUGAGGCGCGAGAGCAUGGGUAGCAAAC
rnacentral:rRNA from 1 species